rnacentral:rRNA from 1 species
AGAGUUUGAUCCUGGCUCAGAAUCAACGCUGGCGGCGUGCCUAACACAUGCAAGUCGAACGAGAAAGGGAUCCUUCGGGAACCUGAGUAAAGUGGCGAACGGGUGAGUAACACGUGGGUGACCUGCCCUCUGGAGGGGGAUAACCCGAGGAAACUCGGGCUAAGACCGCAUAAGCCUUCGAGGUCAAAUUCGAAGGGAAAAGGAUUUAGCUUUCGAGCUAGAUCUUACCGGAGGAGGGGCCCGCGUCCCACUAGCUAGUUGGUGGGGUAAAAGCCUACCAAGGCUACGAUGGGUAGCCGGUCUGAGAGGACGGACGGCCACACUGGAACUGAGACACGGUCCAGACUCCUACGGGAGGCAGCAGUGGGGAAUUUUGGACAAUGGGCGAAAGCCUGAUCCAGCAACGCCGCGUGGAGGAUGAAGGCCCUCGGGUCGUAAACUCCUGUCCUAGGGGAAGAAAAAAAUGACGGUACCCUUGGAGGAAGCCCCGGCUAACUCCGUGCCAGCAGCCGCGGUAAGACGGGGGGGGCGAGCGUUGUUCGGAAUUACUGGGCGUAAAGGGCGCGCAGGCGGCUUGGGAAGUCUUGGGUGAAAGCCCCCAGCUCAACUGGGGAAUGGCCUGAGAAACCACUAGGCUGGAGUGCUGGAGAGGGAAGCGGAAUUCCCGGUGGAGCGGUGAAAUGCGUAGAUAUCGGGAGG